GGUCUUUAAAGUAACCCAAAUUAUCAACUGCAACUCCUCAUUUGUUGUGUAUAUGUUAACAUGCACCUGUGGGUUGCAGUAUGUGGGACAGACCACCGGACCCUUAAAGUCCAGAUUUAGAGAACACAGAUUAGCUAUCCUGAAUAAGGAUAGACAAUCUCCUGUAGCUCGCCACUUAGAAAAUACUGAUCCACUGUCCGUCACCUUGAUGGGAAUUGAGCUAAGCCCAGCUAAACGAGAUCUAGCCAAAAGGAAAAGAGACCUAUCAAGGGCGGAAUCUAAGUGGAUCUUCAAACUCAAUUAUUUGGCCCCAAAUGGCCUUAAUGAGGAACUCGAUCAGUGUUGAGUUUUAACCUGAUCUUCUUUAACCUGAUCUUAUUCUAUUCUUCCUGUUCUGUUCUUCAAACGUUUACUUAAGUUGUAUGGCCUUAUCAUAUAUCUUUGGGACAUUCAGGUUCACCUUCAGUAGAUCCUGAUGUAUGCACUAACUUCUAUAUUUCUCUUACUGUUAUGUUAUCUGAUCUCUGAU